AACGGAGGGUGCAAGCGUUGUUCGGAAUUACUGGGCGUAAAGCGCGUGCAGGUGGCUUUUUAAGUUUCGUGUGAAAUCCCCCGGCUUAACCGGGGAACGGCACGGAAAACUGGAAAGCUCGAGUACGGGAGAAGAGGGCGGAAUUCCCAGUGUAGAGGUGAAAUUCGUAGAUAUUGGGAGGAACACCGGCGGCGAAAGCGGCUCUCUAGACCGAUACUGACGCUCAUACGCGAGAGCGUGGGUAGCAAACAGG
rnacentral:rRNA from 1 species